rnacentral:rRNA from 1 species
GCCUUACUUCUAACUAUAAUUUUCACUAUACCUUGUACCCAUAAAACAUUUUAACCUUUUAGUAGUGGUGAUCAAAAAAUAUCUAAGCGCUUAAGAAAUAGUACCGCAAGGGAAAGAUGAAAUAAAAAUGAAAUAAAUCUAAAGCCCAUUAUAGCAGAGAUUUCUACUCGUACCUUUUGCAUCAUGGUCCAGCCAGUCUAAACAAGCAAAACGAAAUUUCAGUUUGUCCCCCCGAAACUAAGCGAGCUACUUCAAAACAGCUUCAUGAGCCAACCCGUCUCUGUGGCAAUAGAGUGGGAAGAUUUUCAAGUAGAAGUGAUAAGCCUAACGAGCUUAGAGAUAGCUGGUUAUUCAAGAAAGGAAUAUUAGUUCUACCUUAAAUCCCCAAAUGCCACCAAGCAACCCCUGAGAUUUAAGAGUUAUUCAAAUAAGGCACAGCUUAUUUGAAACAGGAUACAACCUACAUAAUAGGGUAAAAUGUUUUAUCUAACUUCAAGUGGGCCUAAAAGCAGCCACCUUUAAAAAAGCGUUAAAGCUUAACAUUACAAAUUAACAAAUCCCACAAACAACUAUGAACCCCUAAUCACUAUUGAAUGACUCCAUAAACAUAUGGAAAACACUAUGCCGGAACUAGUAAUAAGAAUUUAACAUUCUCCAAAAUGUAAGCAUAAACCAAAACGGAUACCCCAUUGGCAAUUAACGAAAAUGAGCUUAUUUCAGCAACCUAACAAGAAAAAACUGCAAUUUCAAUCGUUAAUCUAACACUAGAACAUUCAUGGAAAGAUUAAAAGGAAAAGAAGGAACUCGGCAAAUCUCAACCCCGCCUGUUUACCAAAAACAUCGCCUCUUGAUAAACUAUAAGAGGUCCAGCCUGCCCAGUGAAAAUUUAACGGCCGCGGUACCCUAACCGUGCGAAGGUAGCAUAAUCACUUGUUCUUUAAAUAAGGACUAGUAUCAACGGCAUCACGAGGGUUACACUGUCUCCUUUUCCCAAUCAAUGAAACUGAUCUUCCCGUGAAGAAGCGGGAAUAAAACUAUAAGACGAGAAGACCCCAUGGAGCUUUAAACCUCACAGCAACUUAACUACCUACUCCCAUAUAACCUGUAAAGUUAUGCAUGUCAGUUUUUGGUUGGGGUGACCGCGGAGUAAAAUUAAACCUCCACGACGAAAAGACUUAAAUCUUUAUCUAAGAACCACUAUUCUAAGAAUUAGUACACUAACGAAAAAUGACCCGAUAAUCGAUCAACGAACCAAGUUACCCUGGGGAUAACAGCGCAAUCUACUUCAAGAGCCCCUAUCGACAAGUAGGUUUACGACCUCGAUGUUGGAUCAGGGUAUCCUAGUGGUGCAGCCGCUACUAAAGGUUCGU